GAUGAACGCUAGCUACAGGCUUAACACAUGCAAGUCGAGGGGCAGCGGGAUUGAAGCUUGCUUCAAUUGCCGGCGACCGGCGCACGGGUGAGUAACGCGUAUCCAACCUUCCGUACACUCAGGGAUAGCCUUUCGAAAGAAAGAUUAAUACCUGAUGGUAUGAUGAGAUUGCAUGAUAGCAUCAUUAAAGAUUUAUCGGUGUACGAUGGGGAUGCGUUCCAUUAGGUAGUAGGCGGGGUAACGGCCCACCUAGCCAACGAUGGAUAGGGGUUCUGAGAGGAAGGUCCCCCACAUUGGAACUGAGACACGGUCCAAACUCCUACGGGAGGCAGCAGUGAGGAAUAUUGGUCAAUGGACGAGAGUCUGAACCAGCCAAGUAGCGUGAAGGAUGAAGGUCCUACGGAUUGUAAACUUCUUUAUAAGGGAAUAAACCCUCCACGUGUGGGAGCUUGUAUGUACCUUA
rnacentral:rRNA from 1 species